rnacentral:misc_RNA from 1 species
GAUGAAGAACGUAGCGAAAUGCGAUACUUGGUGUGAAUUGCAGAAUCCCGUGAACCAUCGAGUCUUUGAACGCAAGUUGCGCCCGAAGCCAUUAGGCCGAGGGCACGCCUGCCUGGGCGUCACACGUCGUUGCCCCCCCAUCUACUCCUUCGGGAUUGCGGGGGGCGGAUGAGGGCCUCCCGUGCGCCUCGUCGCGCGGUUGGCAUAAAUACCAAGUCCUCGGCGACGCACGCCACGACAAUCGGUGGUUGCGAAACCUCGGUUGCCCGUCGUGUGCGGUCGUCGCGCAUCGAGGGCUCGAAAAAAUUGCCGGGCUCCGGCUCGGCUUUCAACGCGACCCCAGGUCAGGCGGGGUUACCCGCUGAAUUUAAGCAUAUCAAUAAGCGGAGGA